CGCGAACGUUGGCGGCGUGCCUAACACAUGCAAGUCGUGGGGCAGCAGGCUACUGUCUUUUGGCAGUAGUGCUGGCGACCGGCAAACGGGUGAGUAACACGUAGCUUACCUACCCAUAGGCUGGGGAUAACAUCCCGAAAGGGGUGCUAAUACCCAAUAAUGAGGAGGCUCCAAAGCCCUUAUGGGUGCCUAUGGAUGGGGCUGCGUCCCAUCAGCUAGUUGGUGAGGUAAUGGCUCACCAAGGCUACGACGGGUAACCGGUCUGAGAGGAUGACCGGUCACAGUGGGACUGAGACACGGCCCGCACCCCUACGGGGGGCAGCAGUGGGGAAUAUUGGGCAAUGGCCGAAAGCCUGACGGAGCGACGCCGCUUGGAGGAGGAAGCCCUUCGGGGUGUAAACUCCUGAACCCGGGACGAAACCCCCGAUGAGGGGACUGACGGUACCGGGGUAAUAGCGCCGGCCAACUCCGUGCCAGCAGCCGCGGUAAUACGGAGGGCGCGAGCGUUACCCGGAUUUACUGGGCGUAAAGGGCGUGUAGGCGGCUUGGGGCGUCCCAUGUGAAAGGCCACGGCUCAACUGUGGAGGAGCGUGGGAUACGCUCAGGCUAGACGGUGGGGGAGGGUGGUGGAAUUCCCGGAGUAGCGGUGAAAUGCGCAGAUACCGGGAGGAACGCCGAUGGCGAAGGCAGCCACCUGGUCCACAUGUGACGCUGAGGCGCGAAAGCGUGGGGAGCAAACCGGAUUAGAUACCCGGGUAGUCCACGCCCUAAACGAUGCGCGCUAGGUCUCUGGGUUAUCUGGGGGCCGAAGCCAACGCGUUAAGCGCGCCGCCUGGGGAGUACGGCCGCAAGGCUGAAACUCAAAGGAAUUGACGGGGGCCCGCACAAGCGGUGGAGCAUG
rnacentral:rRNA from 1 species